CACAGGCAAGGAUAUAUACACACUCACAGACACUAAGGAGCCUGGAAAUCUACCAGGGGUGGAUCCAUGGAGACCCAGCAGACUGAAUGGCCUUAAGUCAAAAAAGGACAAAUCACCCUGAGCUGUAUCACUCCGCCCACUUUCUGCUGCUGUGAAAGCUGGGUGCCUGGGCACCGUAGAACCUCUCCUUUUUUAUGGGCUCUAGUAAUCCCCAAUUAGAGCUAUGCCUCCACAGUUACAAUAGUAUAUCUGUAAUAUUAAACAUGAUUACAUCUACAGUA